GAAUAUAAAUAUAUAUAGGAUAGGGCUACUAUACUCGUAUGAGUAUAGAGUCCUUGAUACUCAUAAAUUGUUUUUAAUGAUUGAGCUUUCGAAUCGACGAUCCACUCUGUUAAAUAUGAUUUAGAGUAUUUGAAACUUUUAAAAAAUAAAUUUCGUAAUUUUUUGAAAUUAUUAUAAAGUUCAUCAAGCGGAUAUAAAAUGAAUGGUCAAAAUCGAACGACGUCUUAAAAAUGGAUGAUCGGAUCCUUCAAUUUAAGAUCGGAGUUAUUAAUUUUUAUCUAUGUAGUGAAUAAAAUUUUCCAUUAAAAAUUCGACUAAUUUCUAUUCUUUUACACCAAUAAACUAGCAAAUAUCUCAUACCGGCCGUUAAAAAUUAUCAAUUUUGUAACAUUUUGAUCGUAAGAUAAAUGAUGUUGAAAAAUUAUAAAAUUUGACUUCUAAAUAUUUUAAAUGCUCGAGAUAACGUUUAACGGUGUGGAUCAUCGAUUCAAAACUCUAUCAUCAAAAACAACUUAUGAGUAUGAGGGCGAUCGUACUUAUAAGAGUACAGUAGUCGGACUAUAUAUAUAUAUAUAUAUAUAUAUAUAUAUAUAUAGUGUGAGACUACUAUGUUUUUGGAAGCACGGAGCCUUCCGUACUUCCAGGUUAUUUUCGAUGUUGCGACUUUUGAAUCGUCGAUCGGCUCCGUUGAACUUGAUCUAGAGUAUUUGAAGUACCUAGAAAAUAAAUUUUAUGAUUUUUCGAUAUCAUUUGCCUAGUGAUCAAAGGGGCUCAAAAUCAAUAAUUUUAAUGGCCGCAGUGAGCCGUUUGCAAGUUUAACAGUGUAGAAAUAUCCAAAUCGCGUGAAAUUUUGAUAGAAAAUUCUUUAUACUAUAUAAAACAAGAUUAAUAUCUUAGAUCUAAAAUUUUAAUGUCAUAUUAUCACGUUUUGUAAGAUUUUUAUUUUCAGCCGUUGAUUUUGAGCCCUUUCGUUCACUAGGCAAAUGAUAUCCGAAAAAUUGCAAAAAUUUAUUUCUAGUACUUCACAAUACUCUAGAUCAAGUUUAAUGGAGCUGAUCGACAAUUCGAAAGUCGCAACAUCGAAAACGACCUGAAAGCACGGAAGGCGCUCGUACUUCCAGAAGCAUUAGUAGCCUCACUCAUCUCCUCUCUCUCUCUCUUCUUCUCUCUCUCUCUUCUCUCUCUCUCUUCAUUCAUAUAUAUAUAUAUAAUAAUAUAUAUAUAAUGAGCUGAAUACUAUCGAUAAUAAAUGGAUUCCGUUGCCACCCAUUUAUUUUCGAUAUUGGAAUCUCCAAUCGACGAUCGGCAUCGUUGAAUAUUAUCUAUACGACUUGAAGUAUCUAGAAACCAAUUUCAAAUCUUUUUUACAUUAUUAACUAAUAAUCAAAAGGUUUCAAAAAAUUAUAAAUUUAAUGGUGUCAUAUGAAGCGUUUUCUCAUUUCACGAUUAAAAGAUAUCCAAAUCGAUUGAAUUUUGGUUAGAAAAUUUUUAAACUAUUUAGAUAUAGACAUAUGCUCUCGAUCUUGAACAAGAUUUCCUGUCAUAACUUUUUAAAAAAUAUCAUUUUCAGCCGUUCAUUUUGUUUCCAUUUGAUGGAUAAGAAAAAAAUAUCGAAAAAAUAUAAAAUUUGGUUUCUAAAUACUUCAAGUGUAUAGAUCAGAUUCAACGGUGCCGAUCGUUGAUUUGAGCUUCAUCAUCGAAAUAAAUAGGUGGCAACGAUCCCGUUUGCUACCAAUAGUAUUCUAGCUCAACUCUCUCUCUCUCUCUCUCUCUCUCUCUCUCUCUCUCUCUCUCUCUCUCUCUCUCUCUAUAUAUAUAUAUAUAUAUAUAUAUAUAUAUAUAUAGGGUUUUGCUAGAAUACUAUCAGUAGUAAACAGCUCAGUUUAUUACCGAUUUGUUUUCUAUGAUAGAGCUUCCAAAUUGAUGAUCGGCACCGUUAAACAUGAUCUAAACUAUUUAAACUAUCUGGAAAUCAAAUUUCACAUAUUUUCGAUAUUGUUCUCUUGUCCAUCAAGUGAACAGAAGAAUGAAUGGCUGGAAAUGAAUAUCCUUUAAAAAGUGAUUAUACAAUUUUUAUAUUUGAGAUCUAGAGUCAGAUCUUAUUUUAAAUAGUUUAAAGAAUUUUUUAACAAAAAUUUAGUUGAUUUGAACUCUGCUAUAUACUAUUGAUAAUACGGAGGUCUCCGUGCUACCAAGUUGUUUUCGAUGGUGCGGCUUUCAAAUCAAUGAUCGGCUCCGAUAGACUUAAUCUACACUGUUGAAAAUAUUUGGAAACUAAAUUUUAUAAUUUUUUGACAUUAUUUGGCUAGGAAUCAAAAGGUAUUGACAAUUUUAAUGGCCGAUGUGAUGCAUUUGUGAAUUUAAUAGUGUAAAAUAAUUCAAAUCUGAUGAAAUUUUUAUAAAUUUUUUUUUUAAUAUUAAAAGUAAGAUCAGUAUCUUUGAUUUUAAAUUCAAGUAUUUUAUCAUUACUUUUUAUAAAAUUUUUAUUUUCAACCAUUCAUUUUUAAACCACUCAUUUGAUAGGUAAAUGAUGUCGAAAAAUUAUAAAAUUUAGUUUUCAAAUACUUUCAAUAGUGUAGAUGAAGUCUAACGGAACCGAUCAUUGAUAUAGAACCCGCAUCAUCAAAAAUAACUUGAUAGCACAGGAAGGCUUCCAUGCUCCUAAUAGUAUACUGGCCGGAUUUUAUANUACCAAGUCAUUGGUACUUGUAAGUUUUCGACCCUUGGAUUAAGGAAUGUGCGGUUAGGAUGAUGUGGGCCCCCUGGGUUGAGUGGGUGGUUGGUUUAAUACUAUGAUCUAACGGGUGAAAAUCUACAAGCACCAAUAACUUGGUACUUUUAAAAGCAUAGGAGCUCAAUUUUAUAUAUAUAUAUAUAUAUAUAUAGAAUUAGGCUGGAAUACUAUUAAUAGUAAAACACUAUUUUUGCUAUCAAGUUUUUAACCCUUGGAUCAAAAAUUGUAAGGUCAGGAUGAUAUUAGUCGGUUAGAGUUGAGUGGUCCCCCUAGGGUUGAGUGGUCCCUACUGGGUUAUAGUAGUUAAUCCAAUGGUUAGAAAUAAUAAAAAAAGUUGAUCCAAAGGCUAAAAAACUGGUAGCAACAAUGGAAUUUUGCUACUAAUAGUAGCCCAGUCCAACUCUCUCUCUCUCUCUCUCUCUCUCUCUAUAUAUAUAUAUAUAUAUAUAGUUUGGCUGGUAUACUAUCAAUAGCACCAAACGUUUGGUGCUAUCAAGUUUUCCACCGUUUGAUUUACCCUUUGACUAUUUUUUACCAUUAGAUUAUACUAUUAAACCAAUAACUCACUCAACCCUAGGGGGCCUACAUCAUUCUAACCGUAUAUUUUUUUCAUCCAAGAGCCGAAUACCUAAUUAUGAUAUUAUGCACGGUUAAGAUGAUGUGGGCCCCCUAGGGUUGAGUAAGUUGUUGGUUGAAUAGUAUAAUCUAACGGUUGAAAAUAGUCAAAGCAUUAAAUCUGACGAUAGAAAAACUCGGUAGCACCAAGUGCUUGGUGGUAUCAAUAGUAUCCAGCUGAACUCUAUAUAUAUAGAGAAAGAGAGAGAGCAAUGCUUGAAUACACCAUAAGUAUUAAGAUGAAACUCUUAAUUAGUAAAGGUUAUAAUUGUAUUUUACAUAAAGUAACCUAUAGAAUAGGUUACCGAUUUGAAUUAGUUAAUAUGACAAUAUGAGAAAAAAAUUAGUAGUAUGCAAAUUUGAUAGCAUCCUAUAAUAUUAAGUAUCUUAUUUAGUUUUGUUACUUACCAAAUUUAAAAUAAAACUUUCAGUUCAAAUUUAAAAUUUUAAUUUCAAAAUUUAUAUUAAACUUUUAAAUUUUGAAUCAACAUUGCACUUUUAAUCUGAAAGCCAAAUUUUAAUUUUUGAUUUAAAUUACAAUUUUAAAUUUGAACUGAAAGUUUUAUUUUAAAUUUGUGCUUUAUAUUUAAAAGUUGAAUUUGAUUUAUAAUUAAGUUUUUUAUGUUGUUUGGUAUUUAAAUUUACAGUUUAGUUGUAAUUUGAUUUCCAACUAUUGUUGUAGGUAUUUGAGAAGGUUAUAGUAUUCUUAGUCGGAUAAAACAAGUUUUGUACACCAAAAUAUUUUUCUAAGACCAAAAUACCAUUUAAAUAGGUUUCUGGUGAAUAGUACCUAUGCCAGAAUAGUAGGUCGCCUUUAGAAUCAUAUUACAUCUCAACCAUCUAUUUAAAAAAAUAAAUGGUCAAGAUUUACAUGGUGUAUUGAAAUAUUACUCAUAUAUAUAUAUAUAGUGAGGCUACUAUGCUUCUGGAAGCACGGAGCCUUCCGUGCUUCCAGGUCGUUUUCGAUGUUACGACUUUCGAAUCGUCGAUCGGCUCCGUUAAACUUGAUCUAGAGUAUUUGAAGUACCUAGAAAAUAAAUUUUAUGAUUUUUCGAUAUCAUUUGCCU
rnacentral:lncRNA from 1 species